ACAUCCAGCGAACUUGGCAGAGAUGCCUUGGUGCCUUCGGGAACGCUGAGACAGGUGCUGCAUGGCUGUCGUCAGCUCGUGUUGUGAAAUGUGGGUUAAGUCCCGNAACGAGCGCAACCCUUAUCCUUUGUUGCCAGCGAUUCGGUCGGGAACUCAAAGGAGACUGCCGGUGAUAAACCGGAGGAAGGUGGGGAUGACGUCAAGUCAUCAUGGCCCUUACGAGUAGGGCUACACACGUGCUACAAUGGCGCAUACAAAGAGAAGCGACCUCGCGAGAGCAAGCGGACCUCAUAAAGUGCGUCGUAGUCCGGAUCGGAGUCUGCAACUCGACUCCGUGAAGUCGGAAUCGCUAGUAAUCGUGGAUCAGAAUGCCACGGUGAAUACGUUCCCGGGCCUUGUACACACCGCCCGUCACACCAUGGGAGUGGGUUGCAAAAGAAGUAGGUAGCUUAACCCUCGGGAGGGCGCUUACCACUUUGUGAUUCAUGACUGGGGUGAAGUCGUAACAAGGUAGGCGUAGUGCU
rnacentral:rRNA from 1 species